AUUGAACGCUGGCGGCAGGCCUAACACAUGCAAGUCGAAUGGUAACAGGAAACAGCUUGCUGUUUCGCUGACGAGUGGCGGACGGGUGAGUAAUGUCUGGGAAACUGCCUGAUGGAGGGGGAUAACUACUGGAAACGGUAGCUAAUACCGCAUAACGUCGCAAGACCAAAGAGGGGGACCUUCGGGCCUCUUGCCAUCAGAUGUGCCCAGAUGGGAUUAGCUAGUAGGUGGGGUAACGGCUCACCUAGGCGACGAUCCCUAGCUGGUCUGAGAGGAUGACCAGCCACACUGGAACUGAGACACGGUCCAGACUCCUACGGGAGGCAGCAGUGGGGAAUAUUGCACAAUGGGCGCAAGCCUGAUGCAGCCAUGCCGCGUGUAUGAAGAAGGCCUUCGGGUUGUAAAGUACUUUCGGCGGGGAGGAAGGGAGUAAAGUUAAUACCUUUGCUCAUGGACGUUACCCGCAGAAGAAGCACCGGCUAACUCCGU
rnacentral:rRNA from 1 species